CAUGCAGUCGAGGGGCAGCACUGGUAGCAAUACCUGGUGGCGACCGGCGGACGGGUGCGUAACACGUAUGCAACCUACCCUGUACAGGGGGAUAGCCCGAAGAAAUUCGGAUUAAUACCCCAUACGAUAAGAAUCGGCAUCGAUUUUUACUGAAGGCUCCGGCGGUACAGGAUGGGCAUGCGCCCCAUUAGCUAGUUGGUGAGGUAACGGCUCACCAAGGCUACGAUGGGUAGGGGGCCUGAGAGGGUGAUCCCCCACACUGGAACUGAGACACGGUCCAGACUCCUACGGGAGGCAGCAGUAAGGAAUAUUGGUCAAUGGGCGCAAGCCUGAACCAGCCAUGCCGCGUGCAGGAAGACUGCCAUUAUGGUUGUAAACUGCUUUUAUAUGGGAAGAAACCUCCGGACGUGUCCGGAGCUGACGGUACCAUGUGAAUAAGGAUCGGCUAACUCCGUGCCAGCAGCCGCGGUAAUACGGAGGAUCCAAGCGUUAUCCGGAUUUAUUUGGGUUUAAAGGGCGCGUAGGCGGCGUGUUAGGUCA
rnacentral:rRNA from 1 species